AGAUAGCUAUCGCUAACUAUGGAAUUUAAAAGGGAUACAGAAAGCUUGCACUCCAAAUGUGAAAUUGUAGAGAAAUAUAUUAAGCAACUUGUCUCACCAAUUACAAAAUGUACAGAAAUAUGGAUACCAAUGCGUGUGGUACAACAGCCUCUGUCAAAGCUGGACAGAGGCAUUAAGUUGAAUCUCCCAGUCAGCCAUGCAAUCACAAAAGGAAAGAACCAAUGCUUUACAUUGUGUGAAGUCCAACGGAACAAUGGAGCAUGCCUGUGAGCAUAGAUACUGCAUAUAUGCAAUAUAUUUGUCCCUGGCUUAUUGCUGACCCAUUUUCAUGCAUAAUUCUGGUAACCUCACAAUUUAUGAGAUUUCAGUGAGAUUCAAAACAAGUACAAGACUCUGAAAGGUGGAAAGAACACAAACCAGCUAGAGACCUCAGGGCCUGAGGAACAACAUGACGAUGAUCCAUAAGUGAAUCUAAAAAACAACAAUGCUGUGUGUAUCAGAAGGAGAAAGUUGGCAGAGCUGGGCAAAUAUUAACAUUCAGCCAUAAAUAGAACUAUGUGGAAUAUGGAAAUGAGCAUUCAAAAUUCUCAUGUUAAUACUAAAUAGUUUUAGCCUAGUAAAUAAGAUGCUGGUUAAGACCUCUGUAUACCAUAUCAGAGUACCUGGAAUUAUCUGACUCUAGCUUCCUGCCGAUACAGACUCCAGGGGGUGGCAAUGAUGGAUUAAUUGUUUGCACUCCUGUACCUACAUGCAAGACCCAGACAGAGUCCCUACUUCCCGUCUUCAGUUAGGCCCAGUCCCAUCCCCUGCAACAUCUGAGAAGCGAGCCAGCAGAUGGGCGUGCUGUUCAGGCUCACUUGCUCUCUCUCUCCUCUCUCUCCUUCUUCUUCCUCCCCUCCACUUCUCUCUCCCUUCUUUGCACAUCCUUCCUUCAAGCUGAUCUCUAUUACCUCAUCUUCUCUCCAUGCCAUCUAUUUCCUUUUCAAAGUCCACCCUCUUUGCUGUUCUCACCAUACAACUCAAGAGGAGCACACUUCUGGAUUUCUCAUGAGGUACAUAUUUCUGCAUUUCUAGAGAAGAAUUUCCCUCCUUGUAAUUUAAGCAAACUCCAAAAUCAAAUCAAUAAUUUGCUAGAUGAAAUAAAAAGACAAGUAAUGCACACUGAAAAUAGAUGUGUAAAUUGCUUUUGUUUCCUGGAUUACUGCAUCCCCCUAAAUUGGAAGCCAGAUAAUGGUUUAUUGAGUAUUUACAUCAGUCAAAGCAGGUGCAUAUGGUUAUCAAAAUUAUCCAGAAAGCAUAUACAUAUCUUGCUGUGGUAGUCAAAAUAAGGUCUCACUAAGUCACUUAGCCUGAGCAUGCAAGAUACAGAAAAUGUUUUUUGUUCUUGGUCUGCAAUACUUUGUCUUAAUAUACUGUUCAGUAGCACCUGUACACUUAAAAUGGCAUUAUAUUAAGAAAUUGACUCUUCCCAUCCCUCCUAGCUACACUGUAACUUCAGGAUGAUAAGUGAUUUGGUUUAUGGUUAUUUGAUUUACAAUACAGCAAAGAAACAUGAAGAUACUUAAAAAAGUUUAUGGAAUAUGUAUGGAUUUUCAAUAUAAAUGUAUUUUAUGCUAUCAAAUUAGAAAUUCAUGUAUAGUUUUUUCAUAAUAUAGAUUGUCCAUGAAUUUUUUGAAUACCCCCCCAUCGACUAAAUACAUAAAUAAAUAAAUAGGCACUAAAAUCAAAUGAAGUAUUUUGCAAUUCAACAGAGCAUGCCAGCUGGAGGAAGCCAGCUGUGGGUAGUGGUGGGUCCUAGUGGAUUCUGCAAUUUCUUUCUAUAUACAUUCCUGCCAAUCCCUUCCCAUUCCAAUUUUCCUCCUUGGAUGAAAGUAGCUAGGGUUUUCCUGGCACUUUCCUCAUUUUGCUGAUUAUUGGGAGAAAUAAUCAGAGCACUGUAGAGUGCUGGAGAACAGUCAAUGCAGCUGGAGCUUGUUAAGUGAAGUGGCGAGUAGAGGGAUAUGUUGUGAUCAAGUCCUGGGUAUAAAGCAGCAGCUGAGUUGGACACAUAAAUAAAAAUGAAAUUCAUAAUUUUGAUAGAAAUGCAUGAUUACUAAUGCUUUUAGUUGAUUUUUUGUAAUCCUGAGUAUCAGUAUGUAUACCAAGAUCUUUAAACCACGCAAUUUUCAUUCAAGUAAUAUGAAUACAAUUGACUCAUAAGGAUACAAUUGGAUUUAGUACACUCUGAAUCAGAAUGAGGAAGUAAUUAUUUUCCAAUAUUCUACACACAUCCCUAACACGUAUUUCUAAAUUUCUGGGAGAUGAUAUGGAGUAUGCCCAGGGGCUAAGUGUAAUUUUGAAUUUAAUGCAUUCAAAUGGACUCAGCAGUGUCAUUAUUGUUAUAUGAGGUACUUUUAAAAACUUGUGUAAAAAUAGAAUUUAGAGAUAAGUUCAUUUACAUGCAAAAAAAUUGAAAACCAUUAAUAUUUUCCACAAAAUGCCUUCUCCACGAACAUUUUGAAAAUGCCUUAUAAGCAUGGAUUUUUUUUAAAGAUGUAUUUAUUUUAUUUGAAAGGCAGAGUUACAGACAGCAGAGGCAGAGAGAGAGAGAGAGAGGUCUUCCAUCUGCUGGUUCACUCCCCAGAUGGCUGCAACUGCUGGAGCUGUGCCAAUCUGAAGCCAGAAGCCAGGAGAUUCUUCCAGGUCUCUCACAUGGAUGCAGAGGCCCAAGGACUUGGGCCAUCUUCUACUGCUUUCCUAGACCAUAGCAGAGAGCUAGAUUGGAAGUGAGCAGCUGGGACUUGAAGCGGUGCCCAUAAGGGAUGCCAGCACAGCAGACAGCAGCUUUACCCACUGUGCCACAGCGCCAGCCCCCAUAAGCAUGAAUUUUAACAUCCUUUGAAACAAACUAAAUUUAUCUUUUAUUUAUUUUAAAAUUCUUUACUUACUUUUAUUUGAGAGGUAGAGAGAGAGAGAAAGAUUGAGGCAGAGACAGUGACAAACAGGUAGAUGGACAGAACUCUACCAUGCAUGAACUCACUCCCAAAAUGCUCACAAGUAGCAGGGCAGAGCUAGGACAAAGCAGGGAAUGGGAAUGCCAUCCAGGUCUCCCAUGUGGAUGGUAGAAAUCCAACUACUUGGGUCAUCAUGUGCUGGCUGACAGGGAGCACAUUAGCAGGAAGCUGGAGUCAGGAGUGGAGAUGGGACGGGAAUUCAGGUAUGCUGAUAGAGUGUGUGGGCAUUCCAUAGGCAUUGUUUUAACUGCUACACCAUAUGUCCUUCCUAACUUAACUUUUAGUUCCAUUUUUCCAUAAAAUUUUUGAAGUCCUCUUGUACAUACUAUUUACUGUUUAUACAGCUUUCUUUCAA